UGAGCAAUCUGCCCUUCUCAUCGGAAUAAGCGCUGGAAACGACGUCCAAUGCCGAAUACGACCUCCCUUCGCAUGAUCGGAGGUGGAAAGCUCCGGCGGAGAAGGAUGAGCUCGCGGCCUAUCAGCUUGGUUGGGUGGGGUAAUGGCCUACCAAGGCGUCGGACGGGUAGCCGGCCUGGAGGAGGGCGACCCGGCCACACGUGGGACUGAGACCACGGCCCAGACCUCCGUACGGGGAGCAG
rnacentral:rRNA from 1 species